AUUCUGCCCAUGCGGGGAAGGAUGAGAAGCUUCGACCAAGGUUCGACUCGAGCGCCAGCGAGAGAGCGUUGCCGCAGGCAACGACCCGUAGGGCGAAGCGCGC
rnacentral:sRNA from 1 species